GCUCAGCUAGCUCAGUUCAUAGAGCAUGAGACUCUUAAUCUUAGGGUAGUGGGUUCAUGCCUCAUGUUGGGUG
rnacentral:tRNA from 1 species